ACGCCGCCAUGCGGACGGACGCGGGGCGAUGACGUAAGGCCCGCGCGGCUCGGCGGCCGGAGCCGCCUUCGUUCCCUUUUGUCCAAGAUGGCGGCGGCCGCCGGAGGCGUCUCCUGAGCCGCGGGCCCCGGCGCCAUGAAGCGGGGCAGCGAACGGGACUCCAGCCCGCCGGGGGCCGGGGGCGGCCGCGCCGCCGCCGCCAAGCGGCCCCGCGAGCGCGACCGCGAGAGUAGCAGCCGGCGCGGCCCGCACCGGAGCUCGGGCGCCUCCCGCAGCAGCCGGGACAAGUCCACGCCCGGCGGCGGCGGCGGCGGCGGCACCACCGGCGGCGGCAGCGGCGGAGGUGGCUCCAGCUCCCGCAGCCACCGCGGCGAUGAGCGCGCCGGCGGCGGCGGCGGCGGCGGCGGCGACUCGAACCACCGCCCGGCGGGGAGCGGCUCGGCCUCGGGCGCCCGCGGCGGCAGCCAGGCCGCCCCCUCGUCCUCCUCCUCCUCGUCGCGGGCGCUCGGCGUGCCCAAGGCCAAGGCCCUGCCGGGCGCCGUGGUGGCCCCCUCGCUGCUGCUGGCCGGGCCGCCGCCGGGCGCCGCGCCCUCGCUGCUGCUGGCGCCGCUGGGGGGCUCGGCGCUGGCCGGGGAGCCGCCCGGCUCCUGUGAGUACAAGACGCUGCUGGUGAGCGGGCUGAGCGCGGCCCUGCCCGACCAGCUGCUGGAGGACGGGCUGUUCCGCCUCUUCCAGCGCUUCGCGGGGGGGGGCGCCGGGGACAUCAGUGUCAAACUCUCCCACACGCCCGAGCUCGGCCGCGUCGCCUACGUCAACUUCCGACACCCCGGGGAUGCCCGCGACGCCCGCCGGCACGCCCGGGCCCGGCAGCUGCUGCUCUACGACCGACCCCUCAAGGUGGAGCCGGUGUACCUGCGGGGGGGUCGCAGGAGCCGCACGCCGCCCCCCGCGCCCUCGCCGGAGCCCCUGGGCUACCUGCCACCCAUCCACAGCACCUACCAGUACAAGCAGCGAUCGCUCUCUCCUGUCACCAGCCCCCUGCUGCGGGAGCCGAGGCCCAGGCACGCUCAUGCCGCCGCCGCCGCCUUCGCUUUGGAAGCGGCUGCCAUCGGGCUCUCCCGGGAGCGGGAGAGGGCCCUGGAUUACUACGGGCUGUACGACGAACGUGGCCGCCCUUACAGCUACCCCAUUGUGGCAGAGGAAGACCUGAUGCCGGAGGACGACCAGAGGGCGACCCGCAACCUCUUCAUCGGCAACCUGGACCACAACGUCUCAGAGGUGGAGCUGAGGCGUGCCUUUGAGAAGUACGGCAUCAUCGAAGAAGUGGUGAUCAAGCGCCCUGCCCGUGGCCAAGGUGGGGCUUACGCUUUCCUCAAGUUCCAAAACUUGGACAUGGCGCAUCGGGCCAAGGUUGCCAUGUCGGGCCGCGUUGUUGGCAGGAACCCUAUCAAAAUUGGCUACGGGAAAGCCAACCCUACCACCAGGCUGUGGGUGGGUGGUCUUGGUCCAAGUACUUCCUUGGCUGCCCUGGCAAGGGAGUUCGACCGCUUCGGCAGCAUCAGGACUAUUGACUACGUGAAGGGAGACAGCUUCGCUUACAUCCAGUACGAAAGCUUGGAUGCUGCCCAGGCCGCCUGUGCGCAGAUGAGGGGCUUUCCUUUGGGUGGACCGGAGAGGAGACUCCGAGUGGAUUUUGCCAAAGCAGAAGAGACGAGAUACCCGCAGCAGUACCAGCCUGCACCACUCCCCGUGCACUACGAACUGCUAGCUGACGGGUACAGCAGACACCGAAGCCUAGAGCAAGACUUGAGGGUGCGAGAUAGGACUCCUCCGCAUCUCCUGUACUCGGACAGAGACAGGAGCUUUGCAGAGGCAGACUGGGCCAGCCCUGCCAAAAAUGCUGAACGCAGAAACAACUUGGAAAGCUACAGCCGAUCGGUGCGUAGCCGGAGCGGAGAGCGCUGGGGCAGCGACAGCGAUCGCAGCAUGCCCAAACCGUGGGAAGAGAGGCGGAAACGCCGGAGUCUUUCCAGUGACCGCGGGAGGACUACUCACUCACCUUACGAGGACAGAAGCAGGACAAAGGCCAGUGGGCCAGCUUUAGACAGCAGCCCAGUCAGGGCUCGCAAGGAAAAUCACACUACAGAAUCUGGAACGGAGAAAGAGCAGAGUAACUCUCUUCAGAACAAUCGUCAUGCGACUGAGGAGAAACCCCAUCGUGAGCCAUCUGAUGCUCCCCAGCCUAAAAAAAGGGACAGCGAACGCAAUCAUCGAACUGGUGAAUCGGAAUCAAAAACUCACGAGGAGCCAAAAUCUGAGACCAAAAAGCUAAAGAAUUUAUCGGAAUAUGCUCAGACGCUGCAGCUUGCUUGGAAUGGGCUUCUUGUGCUAAAAAACAGCUGCUUCCCCACCUCUAUGCACAUCCUGGAGGGAGACCUCGGUGUUAUCAACGGACUCCUUAAAGACCAUUCAUCCGGCGGGAAGUUAACGCAGCUCAAAAUCGCUCAGAGACUUCGGCUCGACCAGCCCAAGCUGGAUGAAGUAACUCGCCGUAUCAAACAAGGCAGCCCCAACGGCUACGCUGUGCUCCUGGCGACCCAAUCCACCCUGGCAGGGGCAGGGGCUGAGGGGACCUUCCCUGUUGUAGAGCCUGGCUUGCAGCGACGGCUUCUCAGGAAUCUGGUCUCCUACUUGAAACAGAAGCAGGCUGCUGGGGUUAUCAGCCUGCCCGUGGGAGGGGCGAAGGGCAGAGACAGCACAGGCAUGCUUUACGCGUUCCCUCCUUGUGAAUUCUCUCAGCAGUACCUCCAGUCAGCACUAAGGACAUUGGGAAAGUUAGAAGAAGAACAUAUGGUGAUAGUUAUAGUCAAAGACACUGCCUAGCCCACACUGUCUUUUCAAAUUCCAUGUUUUCUUUGUGUGUCACACAACGCAGUUGUUUUUAAGGCUGAUCAUUUUGGUGGAGGCUCAAAACACCUCGACCAAAGUGGGAGGCAGCUGACAGUUGUGAGCAUGUGUGCAUGAAUGGAGGACCAACAAAUCUCCCUCCUGCAAACCAACCAGUAUAAAUGAAAAGCUGGAGCAUUUAAGGAAAAAAAACACCUGGGAGAGAAGCAGCAUCAGCCCUCUAACCUGAUGACCCUGAGCCUUCCCAGGUCCCCAGCAUGCAAGUGAGCCACAGUCACUGCUUGAACAGACUGUGCCAAGUCCUGCCGUCCUGUCUGCCAUCCCAUCCCCUCACAUGUACAGCCAGGCUGGUUCCAAGAGAAACGGCCCUAAAAAAGGGUAGAUAGUUACAGCAAAACAGCACUGCACCUGUAUCUCACAGCUUGCAAGACUUGGUCCUUAAAUUGGGAUGGGAUGUGGUUCUAGGGAGAAGACACACGAUGGGGUGUGGGAGGAACACCACGGCCCUAGUUAGGAGGCCUAAGCCACCCAGUGAUGUUGGAAGAUGGUGGGUGCAGCAGUGCUGGGGGGUUGUUUGGGGGUCUGUCAGCCUGGUACAGCGGUGGCAGUAAAGUAAUUGCAACAGGGUAAUGGUCUCUGACUCCUUGAGGGUGGUCUGAAACUUUAAGUGGGAUCAGGGUAUGAGAUGGAGGAUUUGGUGGUCUGAGAGCAUUAGUGUUUAGACUGAGUUGUUCCUUUUAAAAAAAACCAAACACAUCCAUUCAGUAAAUAUUCUGUCUUACAAAGCCUCUUUUUAACAUUAGUUGCUGGCUGUCUUUACUACAAUAGAAACCCGGACAAGAGGGCUAGCCCUAGGCAGUCCUGGGUGCCCAGCAUGUGCAAUGACCAGUGCUGACGAGCCAAUCAUACCUUAAUUAUUAUUACCCUUUGCUAACAUGCAGGCUAAACUACUGACCAGCCCUGAGGUUCCUACCCUGCUCUCCAAGCCGUGGCCUGUACGAGAUGUUCGAACCACUGCGCUGCAGGGGUAUGGGCAUAACCUCCCAGGUGCUGGCACGGUG